CCUUUAUAAGGGGGCUGCAGCUCGUUUUGCACCAUUUCACCUGCAGCAACUUGGGUUAGAGAGAGAAUCUAGAGAGAGAAAGUGUAGAUUUGAGUUCCUCGUAAUAGGCAAAGAUCGCCUACUUAGAAGAAACACAAAAAGGAAGUCGGUGUAAGAUGCAGGUCAGAAGACCUAUGCAGGAAAUAAUGCUUGAGCAAUGCUUUACUGUGAUUGGAUGUUGUUUGCUCAUAUUGAAAGUCUUUUGAGA